rnacentral:sRNA from 1 species
AUGUUGGCCAAGCUGGUCUCGAACUCCUGGCCUCAGGUGAUCUACUCACCUCAGCCUCCCAAAGUGCUGGGAUUACAGUCAUGAGCCACUGCACCUGGCCUAUUUAAUUAUAUUUAAUGAUAUUAAUGGAGUAUGUGUGUGUGUGCAAUUUACAUAUGUAAAGAGAAGUUAUAUACACAAGUUUAUAUUGAAAAUAUAAGAAAAUUUGUAUGUUUUUAAGGAUUUAUUUAUUGGUCUCUUCCUUGACCCCUCUUAGAAAACAGAGUUUACAGUGAAGAAUGCUCAAGUCCGAGGAGGGUAUGUGCUACACAUUGGAACCAUCUACGGUGACCUGAAAGUGGGGGAUCAGGUCUGGCUGUUUAUUGAUGAGCCCCGACGAAGACCCAUCAUGAGCAACCACACAGCUACGCACAUUCUGAACUUCGCCCUGCGCUCAGUGCUUGGGGAAGCUGACCAGAAAGGCUCAUUGGUUGCUCCUGACCGCCUCAGAUUUGACUUUACUGCCAAGGGAGCCAUGUCCACCCAACAGAUCA